GGGGAUAACAGUUGGAAACGACCGCUAAUACCGCAUAACCCGCUAGUAUCGCAUGAUACAGACGGAAAAGAUUUAUCGGUGUGAGAUGGACCCGCGUCUGAUUAGCCAGUUGGCAGGGUAACGGCCUACCAAAGCAACGAUCAGUAGCCGGCCUGAGAGGGUGAACGGCCACAUUGGGACUGAGACACGGCCCAAACUCCUACGGGAGGCAGCAGUGGGGAAUAUUGCACAAUGGGGGAAACCCUGAUGCAGCGACGCCGCGUGAGUGAGGAAGUAUUUCGGUAUGUAAAGCUCUAUCAGCAGGGAAGAAAAUGACGGUACCUGACUAAGAAGCCCCGGCUAACUACGUGCCAGCAGCCGCGGUAAUACGUAGGGGGCAAGCGUUAUCCGGAUUUACUGGGUGUAAAGGGAGCGUAGACGGUUAAUCAAGUCAGAAGUGAAAACCCAGGGCUCAACCUUGGGACUGCUUUUGAAACUGAGUAGCUAGAGUGCAGGAGAGGUAAGCGGAAUUCCUAGUGUAGCGGUGAAAUGCGUAGAUAUUAGGAGGAACACCAGUGGCGAAGGCGGCUUACUGGACUGUAACUGACGUUGAGGCUCGAAAGCGUGGGGAGCAAACAGGAUUAGAUACCCUGGUAGUCCACGCCGUAAACGACGAA
rnacentral:rRNA from 1 species